UGACGGGUACGACUGUGGGGACCGCCGCUGCUAAAGCGGAGGAAGGAAUGGGCAACGGUAGGUCAGUAUGCCCCGAAUAUCCCGGGCUACACGCGAGCUACAAUGGUUGGUACAAUGGGUAUCUACCCCGAAAGGGGAUGGAAAUCUCCUAAAGCCAAUCUUAGUCCGGAUUGAGGGCUGCAACUCGCCCUCAUGAAGCUGGAAUCCGUAGUAAUCGCGUUUCAACAGAACGCGGUGAAUACGUCCCUGCUCCUU
rnacentral:rRNA from 1 species